rnacentral:rRNA from 1 species
GACGAACGCUGGCGGCGUGCUUAACACAUGCAAGUCGAACGGUAAGGCCCUUCGGGGUACACGAGUGGCGAACGGGUGAGUAACACGUGGGUGAUCUGCCCUGCACUUCGGGAUAAGCCUGGGAAACUGGGUCUAAUACCGGAUAGGACCACUGCCUGCAUGGGUGGGGGUGGAAAGCUUUUGCGGUGUGGGAUGGGCCCGCGGCCUAUCAGCUUGUUGGUGGGGUGAUGGCCUACCAAGGCGACGACGGGUAGCCGGCCUGAGAGGGUGACCGGGCAAACUGGGACUGGGAUACGGCCCAGACUCCUACGGGAGACAGAAGUGGGGAAUAUUGCACACUGGGCGCAAGCCUGAUGCAGCGACGCCGCGUGGGGGAUGACGGCCUUCGGGUUGUAAACCUCUUUCAGCACCGACGAAGCGCAAGUGACGGUAGGUGCAGAAGAAGGACCGGCCAACUACGUGCCAGCAGCCGCGGUAA